UACAGAGGUCUCGAGCGUUAGGCGGAAUCACUGGGCUUAAAGCGUGUGUAGGUGGAUCGUUAAGUACCUUGUGAAAUCCCACGGCUUAACCGUGGAACUGCUUGGUAUACUGGCGGUCUUGAGUCAGCUAGGGGCUACCGGAACAAAUGGUGGAGCGGUGAAAUGCGUAGAUAUCAUCUGGAACGCCGGAAGGUGAAAACAGCUCGCUGGGGUUGUGCUGACGCUGAGACACGAAAGCCAGGGGAGCGAACGGG
rnacentral:rRNA from 1 species